AUGGUGAAAGAAACCACUUACUAUGAUGUUUUGGGAGUCAAACCCAAUGCCACUCAUGAAGAAUUGAAGAAGACAUAUAGAAAAUUGGUCUUGAAAUACCACCCUGAUAAGAAUCCAAAUGAAGGUGAGAAGGUUAAACAGAUUUCUCACGCUUAUGAAGUUCUCUCUGAGGAACAGGCAAUUAGAGAGGGUGGAGCAGGUGGUUUCCCCAUGGACAUCUUUGAUGUGUUUUUUGGAGGAGGAGGAAGGAUGCAGAGAGAAAGGAGAGGUAAAAAUGUAGUACGUCAGCUCUCGGUUACCUUAGAAGAUUUAUAUAAUGAUGCCACAAGAAAACUGGCUCUGCAAAAGAAUGUGAUUUGUAACAAAUGUGAAGGCCGAGGUGGCAAAAGGGGAGCAGUGGAGUGCUGUCCCAAUUGCCGAGGUACUGGAAUGCAAAUAAGAAUUCAUCAGAUAGGACCUGGAAUGGUUCAGCAAAUUCAGUCUGUGUGCAUGGAGUGCCAGAGCCAUGGAGAACGGAUCAGUCCUAAAGAUAGAUGUAAAAGCUGCAAUGGAAGGAAGAUAGUUCGAGAGAAGAAGAUUCUGGAAAUUCAUAUUGACAAAGGUAUGAAAGAUGGCCAGAAGAUAACAUUCCAUGGUGAAGGAGACCAAGAACCAGGAUUGGAGCCAGGAGAAAUUAUCAUUGUGUUAGAUCAGAAGGACCAUGCUGUUUUUACUCGACAAGGAGAAGACCUUUGCAUGUGUAUGGACAUACAGCUGGCUGAAGCAUUGUGUGGCUUUCAAAAGCCAAUAUCUACUCUUGACAACCAAACCAUAGUCAUCACCUCUCAUCCAGGUCAGAUUGUCAAGCAUGGAGAUAUCAAGUGUGUGCUAAAUGAAGGCAUGCCAGUUUUUCAUAGACCAUAUGAAAAGGGUCACCUAAUCAUUAAAUUUAAGGUAAACUUUCCUGAAAAUGGCUUUCUUUCUCCUGAUAAACUCUCAUUGCUG